AUUGAACGCUGGCGGCAUGCCUAAUACAUGCAAGUCGAGCGGAUGAAGGGAGCUUGUUCCUGGAUUCAGCUGCGGACGGGUGAGUAAUGCCUAGGAAUCUGCCCGGUCGUGGGGGAUGACGUCCGGUCACGGGCGCUAAUCCCGCAUCCGUUCUGAGGGAGAAAGUGGGGGAUCUUCGGACCUCACGCUACCUGAUGACCCUAGGUCGGAUUAGCUAGUUGGUAGGGUAAAGGCCUACCAAGGCGACGAUCCGUAACUGGCCUGAGAGGAUGAUCAGUCACACUGGAACUGAGACACGGUCCAGACUCCUACGGGAGGCAGCAGUGGGGAAUAUUGGACAAUGGGCGAAAGCCUGAUCCAGCCAUGCCGCGUGAGUGAAGAAGGUCUUCGGAUUGUAAAACUCUUUAAGUUGGGAGGAAGGGCAGUAAGUUAAUACCUUGCUGUUUUGACGGUACCAACAGAGUAAGCACCGGCUAACUUCGUG
rnacentral:rRNA from 1 species